UUAGGCUGCAUGGAACAAAUAAGUCAAAUGAGCUCAUUAGGUAUUAUUCUCACGUAAGAGACACGUCAUUAAUUAAUUAGCAAUCCAAAUAACUUGACAGAUUAUAGAAUUUAUUUUUGCGCGACAUGUUAAACUUGGUAACACGACACUCACACAGCGCAAUAUCUUCCAUAUGAAUGUGGCAGCCUGUGUUAUCUUUAUGCUAAGCAUCACACUGUACCAUUGCAGUACUUAACAGGCUAAUGGAGGAUUUCUGUUCAUGUUUUCAAGGAAAAUUUAAGUGAAGUUAAUGCAUUUGAAUUUUCUGCAUAUAAUAAGUGUGCAGUAUUGAGAGUGGAAGUGUGAGAAGCCAGCCUACCUCUUUUAGGAUAACCGCUGGGGAGCUGCUCUGUGUCUGAAUCUCCGAAAGUGAGGAGAAUAUCAGAGCUGAGAGACCCCCUCCCCCUCUCCUCUCUCUCUCCCCUCUCUCUCUGCUUCUUCUCUCCUCCUUCUCAGCUUUCUCCCUCCCUCCGUCUCUUACAUCACUUUGAUGCUGGCGUCAGAACUCAGCCAAGUAUCGGUAAAUUGCAGCCUUCCUCCUUUCUUGUCUACCUCCUCCUCCAUCCAAGCAAGAAGGAAAACAUGCCUGGUUAUUGGCAUCAACACUUCUAAAUUAAAUGGCUAAACAGACCUCUGUUUGCAGAACAUGCAUGCUGGCUAUCUAUGGCAGACACCUCACUCUCGGUUUUUAUGUUUAUUUGCAUUCACAAUCUUCUUCACAAUCCUCCGACCUGUAUAGCUUGUCUGUACAGGUCGGAUUUUGCAGCUGCAUCUCUGCAAACAAGCAUCGUUUUCAAGAUGAAACAGUAACUGGUUGUUCUCUCUCUGUUAAUACAGUCAUUAUUUCAGAUAAAGUCAUUCAUGUUGGGUCUGUAGCCAACACGUGGUACCUGCAGGAUUAUGGAGAAGUGGUAGGGCUGAAUUAUCACUGUGUUUCAACACUGACAUGAACUGAGGCUGUGUGUCACUCCUACACACAGCUCUGUCCCUUUGUCCCUCUGCAGCCCUCUACACCCAAUGGCCACGAAUGAAAACUACAUAGGUCUCCAAAUAAAAACGCUCAAUAAUGAACACACAAGCAUGCAGUCAGAUCAGGGGGUACAGAGUGUGCUUCUAAUGAAAACCUGCACACAUUGUUGUCAGUGCCACUUGGUGGGAGAACACUGAGUUAAUGCUGCACACCAUAUUUUCACCCAACACUGUCUGAUCUCAAACUGCCAAGGGUGUCUUGACAGCUGCAGCUACAGAGAGGUGUGGAAGCUGCGGGGUAAGAGAGCAGCUUCAAAUUGCAAUUACCCUCUUUGGAUGGGAACACGAUGAGAAUGCAGCACCUUGUUUAUGACAGGCAGGAGACUGAAAUGAUGCAGGCCAAUAGAGCAUGAAUAAAGAUUAGAGAGAAGAGUGUUGUAAGAUAGCCAGAUAGAGGAGACAAAAAAAAGUAAAUUGGAGGAAUUAUGUUUCGAUCCAUCUAUACAUGCCGAACAUUUGAUUACAUGUGUCUGUUGCAGACAUUGUUAAGUAUGAUUGUGUUUGUAGCAUUGCCUUUAAACUAUAUUUACAAAAAAAAAGAAACACUCUCCAGCUUAUGGGUACACGGUUUUUAACAAGAUUUUUCCAUCUCAGUGGAAAGAUUUAGCGAGCCACAAGACCUAAGUAGGGCUACACAGUGGCUUGGUAGUUAGCACUUUCUCCUUGCAGCUAGAAGAUCCCCAGUUCACAUCCCCACCUUCCUGGGAUCCUUCUGCAUGGAGUUUGCAUGUUCUCCCUGUAAACAUGUGUGGGUUUUCUCCGGGUACUCCGGCUUCUUCCCAUAGUCGAAAAACAUGCUCAGGUUAGUUUGUAACUCUAAAUUGUCGAUAGGUGUGAAUGUGAGUGCUCUUGUUUGUCUCUAUGUGAUAGACUCGUGACCUGUCCAGGGGAUCCCAUGCUUUCACCCUAAGUCAGCUGGGAUAGACCUUGUGACCCUAAUGAGGAUUAAGUGGUGUAUAGAUAAUGGAUGGAUGGAAGACCUAACUAAAAUGUACAGAUUUUCACUAUCAACACAACAAAAUAGAAAAAAAGUCUCACUUGAGUAGCAAGCUUUAGCCACAGACAGUGCACAGACUAAUGAUGGUAUAUCCCUGAUUUUGAAAAAAAAAAAAGUGCUUGUAGCAGACCGGGCCAUUGCUACUGAAAGAAACUAGGCUGGAUCUCUCACGCUUCAUAAAAUCUAUAGAUCUUCUUCAAGCUACUUUUUAAUUCAAACUUUUCUAAAAAAAAAGUUGUCCAAUCUGCAUUUGGAAAACAGCAACAUUUUUGAGGAGUUUCAGUCUUGGUUUCAGAUGCACUACAGCACUGCUCAGAGUGAGUAAUGACGCAGCUGGACGUCAGCACAGCCUCCGACACAGUUCAACAUAGCAUCCUGCUCAGCAGAGUGACACAGUGGGUGGGGAUAUCUGGGCUGGUUUUGGUUGGUUCACAUCAUAUCUGUCAAUUAGGAAGUUCUGUGUAUUUGUCAACAAUCAUUUCUUAUUUUCCUUUGUUCAUUAUGGUGUGCAACAGUGUAGGUUAUAUUCUUCAGUUGAACCCAAAGAAAACCAAAAUUCUUGCUUUUGGAUCAAAGCACAUGGCUAAACAGAUUGCCAUAUCAGCAGACUUUGUUUUACAUCAUAUCAGGCCUGUGGUAAAUAAUGUUGGUACCUGGUUUGAUAGUAAUCAAAGUUUUGAGCAGCACAACGCUAAGCUUAGGCAAUCAUGUUUUUACUAUUUAAAAAAAAAAAGAUUUCAGAAAUGUGGACUAUUUGAACUUUUAAAGAAACUGAGAUCAUUUUACACAUUUUUAUUCUGUCAUGCUUGGCUUAAUAUAACAGUUUUAUCACCUGCCUGAAAAGGGAAAAAAAAUCUGUUGACACUAGUUAAUUCAGAACUUGCCUGCCAGGCUUUUAACAAGAACAAAGAAACACAAGAACAUCACUCCUGUUUUAGCCUCAUUACACUAAUUCCUAAGAUGUUUUAGGAUAGAUUUUACUCAUCUUUCAGCCCGUCAUUGGCUCUCUCCUGGUUAUAUCUCUGACCUUUUAGCACCAUAUGCACCAGUACACACUCUGACAUCCUCAAGCAGAGCUCUUUUAUCUGUUCCAGGUGCCUGACUUAAAACUAAAAGGGACAGAGUGUUUGCAGUUGGGCCCUGAGGCUCUCGAACAAUCUGCCCAAAUAAAUCAGGUCAGCUGAGUUAGUCAGUUUUGAUCCCUUUUUAGUCCCUCCUUAAAACAUAGUUUUGUCCUUUCCUGGUUUUAUUAGAAUUUUCAUUUCCUUUAAACUUCUUUUUUUCCCAUCAAUAGUGUAACUACGCCUUUCAACGGUGUGUUGGUUUUAUUCAUCAUGUGGGGUUUUUAUCUUUUAUUUACCAUUGUCUUUUUUAUUGCUUUAUGAAGCACUUUGUAACCUGGAUUGUGAAAAAUGUUUUGUAAAAAAGAUUAUUAUUGUUAUUUCACAAGCAGACUGUGGCAGAUAUAUGAGCAAGAUGAUCAAAGCUUGAGGCGCAAUACUAUGACCAUAUGGCACAUCGCAUCUGUAUGCAUAGUGCAUGCAACAGCAUGUACUUUGCAACCUGUAUUGAAAGGAAAAUAAUAUUUGGAAAGCAGGGUACCUUUGAGGACUGUGUGACUCAUCAUGUUUAUUUAACCCCUUUCUGGAGCAUACCCCGGAUGGAAUCCAGCAAAGACAGUUUGUUUUCCUGUGAAAAAAAUUUGCUUAUUACAGUUUUUCUCAGUCAUUUUGUUGCAUUACUCAAAUCAUCAUUCACAUCUGCAGAACAGUAAGUGCAAAACAUUCUUACAAACAACACCUGCAAAAAUGUGUAGCUUCUUCAAACUCCUUAGUUUAUCUCUGAGAAAUAAAUAUUUAUGAACAUGUCAGAAUGACAAAUCUGCAUGCUACUGUGAACAAAUAAGAUGCUUAAAAUAUUUCAGACCAUUUUAACUGAACUAUGUGUCCUCUGGGAGUGCUUUAUUUUUUAUGUGGCUAAGCAUUUAUCAGCUUCAACUGUACAGAGUUUCACAUUACUGUAUGUGGGAGAUGGAUUACAAGAGAAAGGACAGGAUUCACAUUUAGGCAUUUGUUGUUUGUACUGUAAUUUGUUGGCAGAUCGGGCCAUUGUGAUACAGACGGCACUGCAUCGUACAAAGGAAACAAAUAACAGCAGAUGACUGCAGAGACUGGAUAAGACAAUCCAAAAGAUUCCUUCUGUGCUGCAAUUCAAGAAAACAUAUCCACAGUGAUGUGAAUAAGCAUCUGUGCCCUGACAGACAGGAACAUUAAGAGGUGUAUAAACACUGCACUCUAAUUCUUCAUACAGAGCUCCAUAUACAGCUCUGCCUGAGGGGUGAGCUUUAUGUUUGCAUAGUCUGAUUUUAUUUUUUGUUUUUACUUAGUACUAACCACUAUUGCAAAGCAGGCUCGACCUUUUGUUUUCUGCAGUGCAGAGACAUGGUCAUGUCAGGAUGCAUCUUCUAAAAUAAUCAAAUAAAAAUGUACACAAAAUAUGCUUGACAGAUUUUGAACACUGGCUCAGCCAUUUUGUCUGUAACAACUUUUGCAAUUAACCACAUGUUUUGGGGGUUAUGGGUGUUUAACAAAGAAGCAAUAUACUACAUUUUGAUCACCAUAACAUAAGCAGAGAUUACAUCAGAAACAGCAGACAGUUGUGCAAUACCAAAGCAUUUUCUCCAAAGAAUGAGAAAUCGCUUUUAUGUUGCGCAUUACAUGAUGUGUGGGCUGAACAGCUGGGGUCCGUUUCACAAAGCAGGUUCAACAAACUCUGAAUGUAACCCUGAACUCUGAGUUGAUCUACUCUGAGACAGGAAACUCUGAGUUUUCGGUUCCAAAACGGCUGAUUUGAGUUGGUUUAAUCAACUUGGAGUAGUUUCACCUGGAGUUAAACGCGUGCACAACUAUAAAACGCCAGUAUCAAUGGAGCGCCGAUUCGAAGAGUCACCAUGUGUGCUGGACCCAUCAGCAACUUGGACCAUGCAGUAUUAGUAUUGUUUCUUUUCAUUUCAAACAAAUAGUCACGCACACAGUUUUGGUUAAAAAAUGUUUAUUUAGCUUCUUUGAUUUACAUUGUGAUGGUGUUAUCAAUUUGAGUGCACGCAUUUUGGUUACAUUUAGUCAUAAGUUCAACAAAUUGGCUUAAAUUUUUAUUUCACUGUACCUUUGUCUCUGUUGCUCUGCAUGCUGCUGAGGUCCUGGCAAAGGGGAGAGGUGGAGUUUAAGGCAGCCUUUUAUGCUGGCAGUCAGGAACUGGAAGGCUCCAACUCCCAGUGCUGUGAAGCUGCUUGGUCCCUAACAAUUGGUGGCAGCGGUGGGAUCAUUCAGUAUAGGACACAGGAAGAAUAGAAAAUGCAGCGAGGAGGAGUAAAAGGAGGAGGGAGCAGACCUGAAAUGGAGGCCCAAGCAGAUGGUGAGGCAGAAGAAGGUGAGGUUACUGGUGGAGCCACUGACACAUGGGGGGUGAAGAUAAAGGAGAACCUACCAUUGCAAACCUUACCAACAUUCUUCGUGCCCACAUGGGGCAGCAGCAAGCAUGUGAAGCUAGGUGGGAACAGGAAAUGAGACGCCAAGAGCAGAGGUUCAAGACACUUCAACACAAAUUUAGCCUUCUGUAAUUGGAGGUGCAAGCAUGAACAACGCCAGAGCCAUCUCUCCCAGGCCAGAGUUCUUAUGGUGAUGUAGAAGUGGUCGACUCUCCAGUACAGACAGCUUCUUCAUCAGUGCUCCACCACCAGAGUAACUCUCAGUAUGGUCAGUAUCACUUUUCUAAAGAGCCUAAACUACAAAAAUUAACUGAAUCGGAUGACAUUGAGCAUUUUCUUAUAAACUUUGAAAGAAUAUCGGUGUCUUGUCGCUGGCCGAAAAUAGACUGGGGUUUCCGUCUUAUCCCAUUAUUGACUGGUAAAGCUAGAAGUGCCUAUAUACACAUGGAUGUUGAUGAUGAUUCUCUCAACUAUGACAAAGUUAAAUGUGCCAUUCUCAAAAAAUAUGAUAUUAAUCCUGAAACAUACCGCCAAGCAUUCAGGUCCCUUAAUGUGGAGCCCGAGGAAACCCCCAAAGAGCUGUAUGUGAGACUUACAGAGCUUUACGGGAAGUGGGUUCAACCCAAGGAUAAAAGUGUUGAUGAAAUUGGUGAAAUCAUUAUUCUUGAGCAAUAUUCACGAAUGCUGUCUCCUGAGCUCCAGAUUUGGAUCAAAGAGCAAGUCUGCAGCAAGAAGAUGCAAGUCUAGCAGAUUGCUUUGAGAGAGCAAAGGAGUGUGAAGCUGGAGCUGAUGUGAAAAAAGGCUUUGAGGACAGUUAUGUGCUACAGAAUGGUAUCCUUUACCGUCAACAUAGGUCAGGCAGACAGCUGAUGGUUCCUAAAGUAGCCCGAGAAGCAAUGCUUGCUUUAGGCCAUGCUAUUCCUUUGGCUGGCCACCUCAGGAAACAUAAAACAACAGCUCGUGUAAAACGUCAUUUUCACUGGCCUGGAUUACGUAAAGACAUAGCUCAAUUCUGUCGGAGUUGCCUUCAGUGUCAGCAAACAUCGGCCAAACGUCCAACCAGAGCACCUCUCCAGCCUCUUCCAGUGGUCAGUACACCAUUUGAACGCCUUGGAAUGGACAUUGUCGGGCCUGUAGAAAGGAGCAAGUCAGGAAACAGAUUUAUGCUUGUAAUUACUGAUUAUGCUACAAAAUACCCAGAGGUGUUUCCCCUGUAAUCGGUCAAAGCAAAGCCUGUAGCAUUCUGUCUUGUCCAGUUGUUUUCAAGGGUUGGGUUUCCCCUGGAGAUUCUCACUGACCAGGGUACCAAUUUCAUGUCAAAGUUGCUUAAAGAUGUGUACCAACUGCUAGGAAUCAGAAGUUUGAGAACUACUCCAUAUCAUUCACAAACGGAUGGGUUGACUGAGCAGUUUAACCAGACACUCAAGCAGAUGUUGCGUAAGUUUGUUGAUGACACUGGCUCAGACUGGGACCAGUGGCUUCCUUAUUUAUUGUUUGCUUACAGAGAAGUACUGCAAGCUUCUACUGGAUUUUUACCCUUCGAGUUGCUCUUUGGUCAUGAGGUAAGGGGACCUCUAACCCUCCUGAAAGAGAUAUGGGAGGGAAAGCAGGGAAGUAAAGAGCCCAGUAAUGUUUUUUCUUAUGUUCUUCAGAUGCGAGAAAAACUGGAGAAAACGACUGAACUUGCACGGGAACACAUGGCAGCUGCCCAGCUUAAGCAAAAGGCGUGGUAUGACCAGUCAGCAAGAGAGAGGAGUUUUGAGUCUGGCCGGAAAGUGCUAGUGAUGCUCCCUACAGAGGAGAGCAAGCUGCUGGCUAAGUGGCAAAGACCUUUUGAGGUAAAGAGGAAAAUUAGUUCAACUACAUAUGAGAUCUCCACACCAGGUCAGAGCGGUCCCAUUCAAGUCUUGCAUGUCAACCUGCUGAAGGAGUGGAUUCCAAGGAGGGUGGAGGAGGCUGUGGAGAAACCCAGUGUGCUGCUCAUCUGAAGUGUGGGGGAUGAAGAAGUGGAAGAGCAAUAUUUGCCAGUCCCUGCCCCUGCAGUUCCCAACAUGGACCAUCUCUCAGAGGCUCAGCAGUCACAGAUUCUGAUGGUACUAUCUGCCUGGUGGAGCCCCUUCACACCACAACAGACCUUGUAACUAAUGAAGAGGAUGAAACUGUGUCUGCUGCCUUUACAGAGGGGGAUCCAGAAAGGCAUCUAGAGAGCAUGGCUGGACAGCAGCAGGAUGCUUCCUCAACUUCCACUGCACAGAUUGACACAGUGAGAUGGAUGUUCAGUAAACACCAGAGGUUCAGUCCUUGGAAUUCAUGUGCAACUGUAUAAUUUAAUGUCCUCUAUGUAUUCCCAGUUAUCAGUAAAACAAAUUUACAAAAUGCACUUGCUGAAAAAAAAAAUCCAGAAAACGGAUAAAGAAAUGCAAUAGUUUAGCCAGAUUAGGAGGGUAGAUCUGGAAAUUGAAAUACUGGAGCACAAGUUAGAGGUGGGUGCAGGUCACAGGUGAAUUAUGUUAACUACUGGAACAUGAACUAAACUAGCUCUUUUAUUUU